rnacentral:rRNA from 1 species
AAUUCAUUUAUGGAGAGUUUGAUCCUGGCUCAGGAUGAACGCUGGCGGCGUGCCUAAUACAUGCAAGUCGAGCGAACGUC